UUUUCAAUUCACAGUCAAGCUCAAACAAAAGCCUCCUUAUUUGUGAUAAUUCACUCUAAACUGAACAUUCCCAGUGUAGGUAAAGUUAGGAAAGGGACUAUUGCAGGGAUAUUUAUGUUGACACUUUUGUCAUCAUUCGGCUCUCUUUCUCAGAACUUUGCGAUUAACACACCUUUGAGCACAAAUGAGGCAAAUUGUUCCAAUUAUAUCACAGACACAUAUGGUUUACGUUGCAACCGUAGACUGUAUAUACUAUGGACAACUUGGUUCCGCCUUCCGCCAGUAUACGGAUUUGAAGCCGAAAAGCUCUCCUUAAUUCUGCGUUUUUUCUCCACUUCCUGAAGCAUUGUGCGCAUUCGGUGGGAGAAUCGCCGAGUCGCUGUGAUGACGUUCAGCUCAAACAGCGUAUCCCCCAGGUGAGCGGCGCAAUCUAUGUACGCCUAUUGGCUGUAUCAAUGCUGUGUUCGAGUUACCUUGUAAGUCAGAUGCUGGAGCUAAAAAUGACAUCAUGUCCGAGUUCCCAGCGUUUCAGUUACCAAGUCGGAAAAAAGCAAAAUCGGAGGCCGAAACAAGAUGGCUACAUCUACAAAAGUUAUUCUAGUGCUUGCCGUAUAUUUGGACAAGGCAAGUGCUAAAAUAACUUUUGUAGAUGUAGCCAUCUUUUUUCAGGCCUCUGAUUUUGCUUUUUUCCGACUUGGUAACUGAAACGCUGGGAACUCGGAGGUGAUGUCAUUUUUAGCUCCGACAUCUGACUUCCGAGGUAACUUGAACACACAAGUGUCAAUCAUAGAAAAUAUGAACCCCCUUAUAACUUUUAAAAAUGGAGCUGUACAGAAAAAAAGAGGACUUGAGCACAAACCAGUCUUACAAUAACUACAUGUCAACAUCGCAAGCAGGGGGGAGAAAACUAUAUUCUGUGUAAUAAAUUUCUAAAGUUUGUCCACAGCCCUUUAAGGAUGGCUGGCGGAGCUGGGAUUUAUGACCUAAACUGCAGCCCGUCACCAGAGUGUGCUGUUCUUGCAGUGGCUUCAUCCAGCGAGGAGGCAGACGGCAUCCAUUCUAUAUACAGUCUAUGGUUGCGCCAUAGUAAUCAGCAGUGGGAAAGCACAUCCAGGACAGGACGUUGGUCCACUUUUCUCCAUCAGAGAUGUUGGGGCUCAAAUACUGGAAUCAUUUUCUGACUGUCAGGACCAGCCUGAGAUGGAAACUGGUGUAUCAUGCUCCUUUCCUCAAAUUGAUCUGAUUUGAAGUGUGAUCAGGAUGUCCCUGGAUUCACUUUUACUGUUAAGAAACAGCGAAGAGAUAAAUUGAUCAUAUCAGCAGUCAAGGUCAUCCAUACUAGAGUCAUGAUGAAGCCGUUCAAGCUUUGAAUUUACAUCUUUUUGUUUACCCAUGUUUCUUAUUAUACCACAAAACUUUUGCCUGGGGGAGUUUCCUGUUCCUGCC